AUACUCUGGUUUCUCUUCAAAAUCAUAUAAAUCUUUCACCUUUUGCUAAAGAUUUCUGUGGAGAGGAACAAUUCUGAGUCUUAAUCCAAUUUUUUGAGGCCCUGUUUCUGCGGGGCU